CAGCAGGUUCGGGUCGAGCUCAGCGAGACAACGUUGCCAGCGGCAACGGCCCGAAGGGCGAGGCAAAGCCGAGUUAUCCUGCACGACCCACCA
rnacentral:sRNA from 1 species